UACGUAGGUGGCAAGCGUUAUCCGGAUUUAUUGGGCGUAAAGCGAGCGCAGGCGGUUGCUUAGGUCUGAUGUGAAAGCCUUCGGCUUAACCGAAGAAGUGCAUCGGAAACCGGGCGACUUGAGUGCAGAAGAGGACAGUGGAACUCCAUGUGUAGCGGUGAAAUGCAUAGAUAUAACUUAGAACACCGAUAGCGAAGGCAGCUUACCAGACUGAGUCUGACGCUGAUGCACGAGAGCAUGGGUAGCGAACAGG
rnacentral:rRNA from 1 species